AUACAUAUACAAAUUAUAUUUAACUCUUUUUAAGUAAAAAAAGAUAAACUCAUUUCUUCUUGUACACAAAAUCAAAGACCAUAGAGAACAUAUCACAAAAUUGAUAGCCACAGAGACACCAUUUUUCGCAGCAGAAAACCAAUUCACCAGCAAUGACCUCUCAAGCUNGUUUCCUCCGCCCCAUCCCCUCUCCGUCGCCGCCGCAAUUUCUCCGUCGUACGAGCUCAAGGUAAAGUCCAUUCAAUAUUCUAACUUUUUUCAUACUCUUUAUGCUUUUUUUGUUCUUUAAUCGAUUCUGUUUUGGAAUUUUUCAUG
rnacentral:lncRNA from 1 species